GCGAAGCUCGCCUGCUCGGUUACUCGUCUCAUGCGGAUGUUGCCCGGGCCGUUUGUCGGGCUCCCGGCGUUUUCUUGCGUUCCGUCUGCAUUUCGGCACGGCACCGCUGCAUUACUGGACUACAGCAAGCUGAUGGCAUCCGGUGAAGCUUCGUACGGCAACGAAGGCUGCUUACCUGGUGCCACAACUUUGGAUGAAUGCACAAGAAGCCCGGAACGAGCAUUUAUAUAGAGCAAAAUAAGCAUUUCAUCGUUUCAGAAGGCGUCUCUCGUUUUCCAUAUGAAAGUGUACGUGACACAGAUUCGGUGGAGGCUUGUAAAGAUCGUUCGCAAUCAUUUUUACUAAAUAAUAAAACGAUUCCAUACCAAGGCCGCGCGUGGUUCAGCAGUAGAAGCGGGAAAAAAAAAAUACUGCCGCGCCGAUCAGCGCAGCCGGCGUGGCGUGUACCAACUGGCGUUCAGAACGCGCGCGCCCAAAAGCGAAACCGGAAGGUGUUAAUGCCAUCCGCUUGGUUCGCUACAGUCAAUUCGGCCCCUGAGCUAUAUGGGAGUGUCCGCUCUUCUUGAAAUUUCUUUCUCUAUGGGGAGCCUGGCUACUGUGUGAUUCUGGGCGCACGGGCUUUCGUUUGAAUUUUCAGUUGUUCUCGCAACAUGCAUAUGACGUGUAAUGUUUAGCAAACAGGAUCGUGACCGCGUGGUCUACGUACUAAGCCUUUUUUUUUUUUUUCAAUGCGCAAACCCACUGAGGGGGCACCUCUAACAAAUGCGAUAGUUUUGCCUACAGAAAGCAGCUUAUUUGAAUAGCUCAUUGUUUGAUUCUUUGUGUUUAACAAUUUCUUGUUUUCGAAUGGUCGUGCUUCAACUCGUUAUGAGGCUCACAAAGUUGUCCUAAAUUCUUUUCAACCCCUGGACUAGAUCCUCGUCAGUAAUGUCCGUACUCUGUGUGUGAUAUGGUGUGCGUUAUUCGUUUUUUUUUUUCUUUUCGUUAUCUCCUUGCUGUUUUUUCCUUUACCCGGCGCGGUAGCCAAUGGCUCGAGUCGUUGCGCUGCUGAGAUCGAGGACACGGGUUCGAUCGCAGCCGCGCCGGCCGCAUUUUCAAGGGGUUGAAAUGAGAAAGCGCAUGUGUACUUAGAUUUAGGUACGCGUUAAAGAACACCAGGUGGUGAAAAUUACUGCGGAGUCCCCCACCACAGAGUGCCUCCUAGUCAGAUCGUGGUGAUGGUAGGUAAUAUGACAGAAUUUAAUUUUUUUUAUUUCUUUUUCCCUCCGCUACAAUCGGGUGGGUGCAGCGUCCCAUCUAGGAGAAAAUUUCUAGCUGACUUCUCUUUCUCUCUUUGCGGUGUUUAUACAUGGUUACAAGAUCAAUAUAACAAUAACUGAAAUAACCAGAUGACCAUUGGGGACUUUGGUAUGAAGUUUAUAAACAGGGAUAAGGUGCCUCAGAAAGGCUGGCCAACGUUUCGAUAGGAGGAUCUUUCUUCGUCAAAGGCGGCCUCGUCAUCCUCGGCAUGUUAGUUUUAAAGGGUUAGUGCAGUGACGUCGCGUGCAGUCGUUUGUCGGUGGCAGUUUGUUAUAAAGGGAGAGACUUCAGAGAUAAUGAGCGCUGUCGCCUGACGUCUGUCAGCGUGGUUCCCAAGACGAGGGGACAAGAGCGGGAGAGUGGUGGUAAGGCGGGGAGAAAUGAGAAGAAAGAAAAGGAGAGAAAAAAAUGGAGGGGGGGACACCAAGAGGGAAAAAAAAGAAAGAAGGGGGGCAUGGGAGGGCGUUGGGGAAGCGAGAGGUUAGGGAGCAUUCAGGAGUGUCGUUGGCGGCAUGUUCUUGUGGCUUUAAAAGAGCCGGUCAGGCGGUCAGUGCGCGAGUAACACAAAAGACUCCCCCCC